AUUUUAAUUAUAUUUGAACUGUAUUUAUUUAUGAAUUUUUAUUACUACUGAAUUUGAACUAUUUAUGAAAUAUAAUUAUUAAUGAAUUUAAAUUAUUUAAAAAAUGUAAUUAUUAAUAAAUUUUAAUUGAUUAUGAACUUGAAUUAUUUAUGAACUUUAUUUAUUUAUGACUUGAUGUUUCUUCUCUCAGAAAUUCAUUUUUUAAAACUGAUGAUUUUAUUAUGUAUGAUAUUGUGCCAUUCCUUGAUAUAGAUUUUUCUGUAGUUUAUUCAACAUUCAAAUUACUAUUUUUUAAAAAUACUGCAGCAUCACUGCCCCUGGAUGUUUUACCAAAAAGCAUUGUUUGCCUUACUGAUGUUAAAUAUACAGUGCAUAUUUUUUAUUUCUGAAUAUUUCAUGUACAGUUUUUAAACUUGCCAUUCAAUGAUGUAUAUAUAUGUAUAUAUUUUACAGUUUAUUUCUAGUAUUUACAUACCUAUUAUUUGCGAAAUGUAUUAUCGCUUCAAUUCGCAUUCCGAAAAAAUGUAUUCCAAUUUGUUUUAUAUUGUAAUUUACAAUGGCAUAUCAGUAUACUACAAAAGUCUAAUUCAGAUGGCGAUAGGCCCUCAUUUGGGUAACUAAAAUCUAGAGACAGAUAUAUUUAAAUGGGUUUUUAAUCUAGAAACUUAUAAACAAAUGUUGGAACAGCGUGUUCUUUAUAGACAUUAGUGUGGACAGUGUUUAACAAGUGUUCCUAAGAGUUAAUCUAGUAAAAACAGUAUACAUAGCAGCAUGAUUAAAGACCAAGUCCAAAUAUAUUUGUCAGAACAAAACAUAUCAUUUCGUCUCUCCGAUAUUUGUAUUUGCUUGUCACUCAACUAGUCUCUGCCACUAAGAACAUAUAUAUUAAUUACAGAUACAGUUGUUCAUUUUGUAACACUUGUUGUUAAAAUUAUAUGUCAUUUUGAUUUCAGUGAUAUUUCAAAAUGUUGAAAAUGUUUUUUUAAAUUCAUGAUAUGGUGAUGUCUUUAAGCCAUUUUUUUUCCAAUGGGUGCUUCAUUUAUUGCUCUUUCAUGCAAAUUUUGAUAAAAUAAAAACUUGUUGAAAAUAU